AGCAUCUGGACCUCAAGCCCUUGGGUCGUAUAUAAUUUAAUAUACAUUUUUAAGUUGCGUGUUGGAGAAAGAUGCCAUCAGGUCUAUUUCUGGAGUGAGCCGUUACUGGCAAAUCUUCCAAAAAAUAUCCAGGUUCAAUUUCCACUCUCUUUAUCUAUCUAUAUAUCCAGCUCAGAAAAUCUGCAACCUUGUUGUCUUUGCCUGGCAGGUGAAUAGUUGACAGUGCUUUUAGAUUCAAAUCUAAACAAUCAUUGGUUUUGUUUCUUGCAUCAGCCUAUGACUCUUUGACCCCCUUGAUGGUAUAUGUCUACCACAGCGGUCACAAUAUCCACCCGGACUUUAACCCAUUUGUUCCUCAAUAAAUGUUUGAUGAGGUCAACGCUUUUUGCACUGACCGAAGUUCCAAUAAGUUUGAUUUGAGAUUCCAGUUUGUGCUCGAUAAUUUUUUUAACUCUGCCUGUCCCCCCCCCACCCCCAGCCUUUCCCACUUACAUCCGAUAUUUCUAUUUCCCAAUCUGGAAAGCCUCUCCUGAUAUUGAAGUCUUUUAUCCACCACAGUAGAGUGAAAUCCUACUUCUUGUGCAAUGAAUAGGACUUAUUCCAGUUCUGUUCCUCAUGAAUGAAUUGCCUCAAGAAGUUUUUCUGGACUGGUCUGAGAUUCCAGUGGGCCCAUCUGACAAGAUCUAUCAUAGAGGAAAGGGUUCCCAGUAAGCUAAUGUAUUCUCCAGGCACCCAGACCACUUCAGCUAAUUGAAGUGGUAUUGGGUGACGUGCCCCAAUUGCACUUUGUGCUGCAAUGUAAAACAUUGCAGUUCUAAGUCUGCCCGCUGUGGCUGUCUAUGAGAGCCACUAGAGGGCUUCCGGAAUCCUAACUGAACAUUGGUCGGUUAUCUGACACUGGACGUCCUCACGGACCUCCUGCGUCACAUUUUCCCCAUAGGAAAGCAUUGAAUGCGUUCCCAUUGGGAGGUCUAAUGUGCGCGCGGCUAUAGCCACGCAUGAGGUCCUCCCCACCAGCUGAUGUUGGCGGGGGAGGAGUGUGGGUGGAGCCUGACCCAGCGCCGAGGGCCAUUGGCACUGGAUUCAGGUAAGUAGCUGAAGGGGUUUGUUUUCCUGGCACUAGAGUCCCUUUAACAUACUUCACUUAGAGAUACCAUUCCUGGCUAUUUUUUGUCUCCCCUUUCCUGAGUCCUUUUGGAGAAAGAUAGACGAAGGUCUGUGUCACAUCCGAGGACAAAUCUGCCUACAUGACUUGAGCUUGUCCUACCUGGCUCUAUACAUGUGAGUGUGUAGCUUUAUAUUUUACAUCCAUACUUACUUACAGCCUACAUUGCAGCAUAUUGUAUUU